rnacentral:lncRNA from 1 species
CUCGUUUCUUCUUUCCAGUGAUGCUCCUGCUUCUAGCUGCAGCAGUUGGCUUGAGUAAUUCUGAUUACGGAUGGGGCUGUGCAAACUAUAGAGGAUAUUGCCGCAAAACGUGCUUCCCACAAGAAAAGCCGCUGGGUCAAGAGGAUUGUCCUGAAGACCAGAUCUGUUGUGUAUCAGGUCCCUUAGGUUGGCAAUCUGGAUGAAGUGCAGUGAUUUGGCCAUGAAGAACCCUGCUUGAGCCAGAGGAGGAAAUCAACAGCAGGUUGUUACUGCAAGGGGCCGGCAAACAAUAAAACAUUUC